rnacentral:misc_RNA from 1 species
GUUGUAAAAAGACGUUAUGCAUGAAAGUAAUGCUCAUAACUUCCCUCUAGACCUAGCUGCUGUCGAAGCUCCAACAAAUAGGAUAAGACUUGGUCUUAGUGUAGAGGAGUUUUGGAAAAUAGGAUAGAUAAAUAUAAGGAGCAAGAAACCCUCUUGAUAUAACAAGAAAUAGUUUCUUGCUCCUUUAUUUUUUUUUUUCAAAAAAGUAGUGUUGUCUUUAUCUAGACUUUUUGGUUUCCAUUCCAUAAAAACGAAAGAAGAUAAAAAAAUGAUUGAAAUUCAAUCUUUUGUCUUAUAAUUUCUAAAAAAUCAAAAUUCCAAAAUUGAAUUCGUAAAUAAAAAAAUAUCAAUUUUCUAAAACUAUUAGAAAGUCGAUUUAACAGUCAAAGAAAUCUAGUUAUAGUAGAGGGGCGGAUGUACCCAAGUGGAUCAAGGGGGGGGAUUGGGAAUCCCC